GCAUCAUUCAAAUACCUGCCCUAUCAAUUUUUGAUGUGACGGUAGUGUCCUCACAUGGUAUUGACGGGUAACGGGGAAUUAGGGUUCGACUCCGGAGAGGGAGCCUGAGAAAUGGCUACCACAUCCAAGGAAGGCAGCAGGCGCGCAAAUUACCCAAUCCCGACCGGGGAGGUAGUGACAAGAAGUACUGAUACAGGGCCCUCAUGGGUCUUGUAAUUGGAUUGGUUCUAAUUUAAACACAUGUAUACUGGAGGGCAAGUCUGGUGCCAGCAGCCGCGGUAAUUCCAGCUCCAGUGGCGUAUAUUAAAGUUGUUGCAGUUAACAAGCUCGUAGUUG
rnacentral:rRNA from 1 species